AUUAAAGUCCUUAGUUGGUUUCAUUUGGACUUCACCUCCAGCCACAGCAUCGGUAAAGAGGAGGACUGGGAGAAAGUCUAGAGACGAUCAGGCUAUAGGGCUUGGUGACCAACUGGAGGACGAAGGAAGAAGAGGGGAUUGAGGAGGAUCACCCACCCCCCAACACUGCCACCAAGGGGUUAAUAACUGUUCUCCAGAAAGCUAGCUUUAUCUCUGGAAACUAGUUAUUAAGUGCUGGCAGAGUUGACAUACCUUAUUCGCUUCUUGAGAAAUGUGAGUGUUGUUGACUUUUUGUGGUGCCUUAACUGGGAAAGAAAGCUGAUUGAUUGUAUUUUUCUCCCUUUAAAAAGUUGCCCUUCUUUAUGAACUCAGAUGACAGGAGCUGCAGCUGUGACUGCCGGUUGAGCGAUGGAUGGCAGGAAGACCUUGGCCUGAAGACCCUUCCUCCCCACAAGCCUGCUCCUGGGCCUGCAGAGCUCCUGUCUAGGUGACAUCUUUCUGGAAUCAGGCAGUUGGAUAUAUCCUACUAGCCAGGAGUUGAGAGGAGAGGUCCGGGCUUGGAAAGAAAUCUGGGCGUCAUCUUCAGCAUACAAAUGAUACCUGAAUCCCAGACACUAGGUGAGACCACUGGGGGCGGGGGUGGGUUGGGGUGACUGAAGAUUUACAGAGAAGAGAUGAGAA
rnacentral:lncRNA from 1 species